rnacentral:misc_RNA from 1 species
GAUGAAGAACGUAGCGAAAUGCGAUACGUAAUGUGAAUUGCAGAAUUCAGUGAAUCAUCGAAUCUUUGAACGCACAUUGCGCCCUCUGGUAUUCCGGGGGGCAUGCCUGUCCGAGCGUCAUUUGCAACCCUCAAGCCCGGCUUGUGUGAUGGGUGCCGUCCCCUACGGGACGCGCCCCGAAGGCAAUGGCGGCGUCGCGGUUAUCCGAUCAGCCAAAGUGUAUGGGGCUUUGUCACUCACUUUACGGCCCGGACCGGCGCCAGUCCGAAUCAAUCUUUUUUCUAAAGUUGACCUCGGAUCAGGUAGGGAUACCCGCUGAACUUAAGCAUAUCAAUAAGCGGAGGA